GAGUUUGAUUAUGGCUCAGGAUGAACGCUAGCUACAGGCUUAACACAUGCAAGUCGAGGGGCAGCAUGAAUAUUGGCUUGCCAAUAUUUGAUGGCGACCGGCGCACGGGUGAGUAACACGUAUCCCACCUUCCGGUUACUCGGGGAUAGGCUUUCGAAAGAAAGAUUAAUACCCGAUGUUGUGUAUCUUUCUCCUGAUUGAUACGCCAAAGGAUUCCGGUAACCGAUGGGGAUGCGUUCCAUUAGGCAGUUGGCGGGGUAACGGCCCACCAAACCUUCGAUGGAUAGGGGUUCUGAGAGGAAGGUCCCCCACAUUGGAACUGAGACACGGUCCAAACUCCUACGGGAGGCAGCAGUGAGGAAUAUUGGUCAAUGGACGGAAGUCUGAACCAGCCAAGUAGCGUGAAGGAUGACUGCCCUCUGGGUUGUAAACUUCUUUUAUACGGGAAUAACAUGAGGUACGGUACCUUAUUGCAUNACCGUAUGAAUAA
rnacentral:rRNA from 1 species